AUUGGGAUCCGAUUUAGCCAUGCUAGUCGCACGAGUUCAGACUCGUGGCGAAUAGCUCAGUAACACGUGGCCAAACUACCUUUCGGAACACAAUACCCUCGGGAAACUGAGGCUAAUAGUGUAUACCAUACCACCACUGGAAUGAGUGGUAUGCCAAACGCUCCGGCGCCGAAGGAUGUGGCUGCGGCCGAUUAGGUAGACGGUGGGGUAACGGCCCACCGUGCCAAUAAUCGGUACGGGUCAUGAGAGUGAGAACCCGGAGACGGAAUCUGAGACAAGAUUCCGGGCCCUACGGGGCGCAGCAGGCGCGAAACCUUUACACUGCACGACAGUGCGAUAGGGGGAUCCCAAGUGCACAGGCAUAGCGCCUGUGCUUUUCGGUACCCUAAGGCGGUACCAGAAUAAGGGCUGGGCAAGACCGGUGCCAGCCGCCGCGGUAAUACCGGCAGCCCAAGUGAUGGCCGAUCUUAUUGGGCCUAAAGCGUCCGUAGCUGGCCGCGCAAGUCCAUCGGGAAAUCCACCUGCUCAACAGGUGGGCGCCCGGUAGAAACUGCGUGGCUUGGGACCGGAAGGCGCGACGGGUACGUCCGGGGUAGGAGUGAAAUCCCGUAAUCCUGGACGGACCGCCGAUGGCGAAAGCACGUCGCGAGAACGGAUCCGACAGUGAGGGACGAAAGCCAGGGUCUCGAACCGGAUUAGAUACCCGGGUAGUCCUGGCCGUAAACAAUGUCUGCUAGGUGUGGCUCCCACUACGAGUGGGUGCUGUGCCGUAGGGAAGCCGCUAAGCAGACCGCCUGGGAAGUACGUCCGCAAGGAUGAAACUUAAAGGAAUUGGCGGG
rnacentral:rRNA from 1 species